AUGUUUAUAUAUAUAUAUUAUAUAUAUAUAUAAUAACAUUCAAUAAAAGUGUCUUCAGGUUACUUCAGGAAAUAAAUAAUCUUGUUUAUAACCACAUCCAUCUAACUGAUGUUUUCCCUUCCUUCUAGUUACUCUAGAAUCAUAGAGCGGCUUGAGUUGAAAGGGAUCUCAAAGAUCAUCUAGCUUCAAUUGAUCAGCCAUGGAAAGAGUUGCCAACCACUAAAUCAGUCACUAGAUCAAUCUGCCCAGGGCCUCAUCCAACUUGACCUUGAAUAUCUCCAGGCACAGGGAAGUCACUUAUCUGAGUAUAAUUUUCCAGCACCUCACCAUCCUCCCAGUGAAAAAUGAAAUCCCGACAUCUGAUCUAAGCCUCUCCCUCUUGUCCUAUCAGCCUCUACCAUGCAAACAUUUGAUUCUCCUCCUUCUUCAAGACCAAUUUAGAGAGAAAAAUAAGCAUGGGAUUGGAGAUUUUAAGGUGGUUCAAAGAGACAGAAGGCAGCAAUACAAAGUAACCAAGGCUACAGCUAUUCCUCAGGAAGUGAAGAAACAGUCAUCUCCUGGACAAUUUUUGGCAAUCAGUCUAUUGAGAGUGCGGAUCACUCUCAGUACAGCUGUUUGGAUGAAACCACAUUCUUACAGAGAUAAGAGAGCUUUGUAUUAUGGUUGUAGUUCUUCCUUGCCAGCUGGGCUCUUUGUGAAGAGAUAACCCCAAACAUAUUUAAGGUAUGGUAGCCAACAGUUCUUGCAAAGAGCUUAGUCAAUAUGUUGGAAUCCACUGAAGAAUGUCUGUGACUGAAUGCUAGCUUUUAGAUAACUCAUGUAGGUGAUUUUGACAGUAAGUGACCACUGAAAGAUUGAUCUUCAUAAAUUGGUCAGAACAGCAGAAAAUAAGAACGAUGAAGGAUAGGCUGUUGGAAAGAGCAACUCAGUCAAUCAAUAAGGAAUAAAGAAAAAAAUAAUCCUUUCAAGUAAAAAGAAGUUACUUGGCUCCCUUUGUACAUUAUUAGUCACAGUUAAAAGGUAUUAAUUUUUAAUAAAAGCAAAAAGAAACCCAACAGCUAUCCACUGAUAAAAUUAACUGAUAAUACCAUAAUCAGUUGUUGAAAAAAGGCACACAAGUGCCAGUGAACUCUAUUAUUCUGUUUGUCUUCAACUUGUUACAUUUACAGAAUAUCUCAAAGUUUGUUUUCCAAUUUAUAACAGCACAGUUAUAAAAUUAGAUCAGUUGAUACACAAUUCACUGAUAACUUACUUCUCUGUAAAACAGUGGUUGCAGCUCCAUACAUGAAACUAACACUCAUCCUGAUAUAGCAAUCCCUAUAUAGUACUUUGAAAAACAGGAUAGAUUUUAACAUGUUACUCUAUUUUCUAGUUAGAGGUGCAUGCUAGCUUUCCAAUUUUUUAUGCCUGAAUUCCAAGUAGAAAUCCUCAAUUACUAUCACUUAACACAAAUGUGCUUCUGUUGUAAAGCCUUACACUAACAGCCAUUAAUCCAGUAAUAUUUAAUGUCUCAAAAGGAUUACAAUACACGGGAGGAUCAGAAUUAAGAGAGGAUUUCUCACUUAAUUAUCCAACUCCGGAUAAUUCAGAAGGUGAAAACUAUCAUUCUACUCUUCACUGAUUUCAUUAAUAUGCAGAUUAUACUUAUCCAUGUCAUACAAUUAAACCUAUAUCAGGUCCAUCUUUGUUUACCUCAUCUUCCUACCUUCCUCCAUUUCCCAGUUCUAGGCUACUACAUUUUUUGCUGAUAUAGGGAAAGCAUUGUAAAACUGUCAUUUGAUACAUGGUACAUUGUUGCCCAAGUACAAAUACAAAUAAGCUGCAAGGAAUAUAAAGUUGGUGCUUUUUUCUUUUUAAAUAACGCUUAAACAACAGGCAAAGAUUAUAACUACUAUAAAAAUAAUUAUACCACAGAGAAGCAUAACUGACCUCAAUCCAUUAUGUAUUUAGUUCCAAAUGGCCUACAGAGAAUUACCCACUUUCUUGACAGCUGAAAUUUAUUAGUUUUGUUACUGAUUAUACCACUUUAUAGUAUUAGUACAGCAUAGGCAGGGCAGUACUACCAUGUACAUAUAAUGUACACAAAAUCUUUAUUAUAAAUCUGCUGAUUGAAUGCUAAAUUUCUAGAAUAAAAGUAACAUUUUAGGUUUGUUUAUAUAUUAUUUCUUAUUGCUUUAUUAAGAUUAAAAAUAUUAAUUGUUCAAAAGCAGCUCAAGAGUGGAAAGUAUGCUGCCUAGGCACAUCUGAAAUUCCACACUAGCAAAGGCAAAAUCUUAAACAAACAUCACCAUAGCUCAUAAUAUCCAUUUCUCACAUAAAACUGAAUAUAAACUGCAGCUGAACAAAAUAAAACAAACAAAAAAAAAAGAUGUGAGAACUGAUGCAAAGUCUUCCUUGACAGGCCUCAUUUCAGAGGUAGGUGGUGGAAUUUACCUGCACUGGGCACGGCUGUAGUGGAAUUUAUUAUCUUCCUCACUGCCCACAUGGUGCUGUGUUUUAGACUGGUGACAGCACUGAUAACACACUUUGCUUAUGGAUGCUUUAGGUAUUGCUGAACAUCAAGGCUUAAUCUGUGCUCCAGCAGGUAGGGAUAGUGGGAGGGUACAAGACUGACUCAAGCUGACCAAAGGGAUAUUCCACAGAAUGGUAAAACAUCAGGUUCAGCAAUAAAAUUAGGGAGGGGAGCUUUUAUGAAGUUGUAAUUGUUCAAAGACUGGGUGGGUGUGGUCCACUGCUCUUGAGUGACUCCUCUAGCAUUUUUCUUUUCUUCCCUUUUUCUUAUUUAACUCACUUGACCCACAAGUUUCUUUUUUCACUUUUGUCUUUCUGAUGCUCUAACCUAUUGUAAGGUCAAUAAGAAUACCGAUGUUGGAAAGUAUUGGAUGAUCAAUAAGUACACAGAGAAGUUAGGCUUAAUAAGAUUAUCACUUUGGAAAAGAUAAUCAUAGAUAAAUGAAAGUGCUCACCAG